rnacentral:rRNA from 1 species
AGCAGCCGCGGUAAUUCCAGCUCCAAUAGCGUAUAUUAAAGUUGUUGCAGUUAAAAAGCUCGUAGUUGAAUUUCGGGAUCAAUAUAUCGGUCGUGCCUUUGGUACGUACUGGUAUCAUUGAUUUCUCCUUUCUGACGAAUCAUGAUGUCAUUAAUUUGGUGUUAUGAGGAGUUUAGGACUGUUACUUUGAAAAAAUUGAGUGUUUAAAGCAGGCUCACGCUUGAAUACAUUAGCAUGGAAUAAUGAAAUAGGACGUUUGAUUCUAUUUUGUGGUUUCUAGGAUCGACGUAAUGAUUAAUAGGGAUAGUUGGGGGCAUUAGUAUUCAAUUGUCAGAGGUGAAAUUCUUGGAUUUAUUGAAGACUAACUACUGCGAAAGCAUUUGCCAAGGAUGUUUUCAUUAAUCAAGAACGAAAGUUAGGGAUCGAAGACGAUCAGAUACCGUCGUAGUCUUAACCAUAAACUAUGCCGACUAGGGAUCGGAUGAUGUUAAUUUUUAUGACUC